CAGUCGCCGCGGUAAUACGUAGGGUGCGAGCGUUAAUCGGAAUUACUGGGCGUAAAGCGUGCGCAGGCGGCUUUGCAAGACAGAUGUGAAAUCCCCGGGCUCAACCUGGGAACUGCAUUUGUGACUGCAAGGCUAGAGUACGGUAGAGGGGGAUGGAAUUCCGCGUGUAGCAGUGAAAUGCGUAGAUAUGCGGAGGAACACCAAUGGCGAAGGCAAUCCCCUGGACCUGUACUGACGCUCAUGCACGAAAGCGUGGGGAGCAAACAGGAUUAGAUACCCGAGUAGUCCCUGUCUCUUAUAC
rnacentral:rRNA from 1 species